CAGGACUGCAGCUACACACCUUCUUCUACAUGCCGUGCAGUCUGGUUUCCUUUUCCAAGGACCCGUGCUGUGCUUUUGUCCAUGGCUCACCUUGUGUGGUGACGUCGAGACUUCUGAAGCUGUGAUAGCUGGAGGUGCAGCAGAUCUUGUCACCACGAAGAUGAAAAUCAUGUGAUAUGGAUGGUGGGAUAAGAGGAUAGAAAAAGCCUGGUCCUUGACAACAUUUGAUAUGGAAGACCAGUGCAUCUUACUGGACACAGAUGGAAAAAUAUCCCAACCCCAGCUCCACAAUGAAGCCAAAGUUUCCGUCCGUGACCCCUGCAGUAGCUGAUAGGUGAGUGUGGCUGAUUGGUCAGCCAAACACACUUUCAAAUAGGAGCAACCAAAGCUCUGGUAAUAGCAUCAGGCAGCCGAUAAUGUGCCAGGAGCUCUUCUACCACAUACAGUGGAAGGAGCUUUGCAGCUGGACAACCAGUUUGUCUUCUGGCUUUG